AUAAAAUUUACGAUGUCUGGUAAUUUUUGACAUAAUUACAAUCCCAAAUCUAGAGUCCGUGUAGCUAACAUUACAGUUACACCAAUUACAGUGAAACCUGGUUAAGCGUGUCAUUAUGAACGUCUUAAUUUCAUAGAAAUUUGACAAUAAUGAUGACAUUGCCACACUUUGUCAUUGGCAAAUACCAUGCCGAGUUAAUUUCAUUAACUUACAGGCUUAGGGCGUAACUGAUUAGGUAAUAAAUUAUGGCGAGUGUAUGUUAAACUAAAUGAAAUAUUGUCGUCCAUUACCAAAAUAGCAGUAGGUAGAGUUAAGACCAAGAUAAGACUGCUAUUUUAAACUUGUAUGAAAUUAUGACAUCUAUGAAUUAACACUUGCAUUGCGUGUGCUAUCAAAAUCGUUUCUGACUUAUCUUGGUCUUACUCUUCUAUAACAUGACCUAUAUCAAUAUCAAGGAAUAAAUAAGAAAUGAAAUUAAGUAUAUUUGUGACGUUAUCUAUGAAAAGGGACUUUAUUGUCCUUAAAGGGACCUUAUCUUAUUGUCUAUGGCGCUUACGCCAUUAUUAGCGAUGCUCCGAUAUAAAUUCAAUGCCGCGCGACGCUGUGCGGCGUAAGCGCCAUCGACAAUAAGGUCCCUUUUCAUAGAUAAUGACCCGUCUAACUAAAAAGCACCCAUUUUUUUAACUGUAGUUAUUAGUUGUUGUGUAUUUUUUAUUACGUGAUGCGAUAUAAUGUGCAGGAUAUUUUUUAAUUGAUGAAGUUUUUUGAAUUGAUGAAAUAUUAUAUUUGCAUUUAAUACCAAAUAAAUUAGUCAAAAAUUCGUAGGAUUUUGAUAUUGAAUAAAAUGUUUAUUUUAUCUAA